rnacentral:tRNA from 1 species
GGGGAUUUAGCUCAGUGGUAGAGCGCUUGCCUAGCGAGCUUGAGGCCCUGGGUUCAGUCCCCAGCUCCG